CCUACGGGAGGCUGCAGUGGGGAAUAUUGGACAAUGGGGGGAACCCUGAUCCAGCCAUGCCGCGUGUGUGAAGAAGGCCCUCGGGUUGUAAAGCACUUUCAGUGAGGAAGAACGCCUGGUGGUUAAUACCCAUCAGGAAAGACAUCACUCACAGAAGAAGCACCGGCUAACUCCGUGCCAGCAGCCGCGGUAAUACGGAGGGUGCGAGCGUUAAUCGGAAUUACUGGGCGUAAAGCGCGCGUAGGUGGCUUGAUAAGCCGGUUGUGAAAGCCCCGGGCUCAACCUGGGAACGGCAUCCGGAACUGUCAAGCUAGAGUGCCGGAGAGGAAGGUAGAAUUCCCGGUGUAGCGGUGAAAUGCGUAGAGAUCGGGAGGAAUACCAGUGGCGAAGGCGGCCUUCUGGACUGACACUGACACUGAGGUGCGAAAGCGUGGGUAGCAAACAGGAUUAGAUACCCUUGUAGUC
rnacentral:rRNA from 1 species